rnacentral:rRNA from 1 species
GAUGAACGCUGGCGGCGUGCCUAAUACAUGCAAGUCGAGCGAACGGACGAGAAGCUUGCUUCUCUGAUGUUAGCGGCGGACGGGUGAGUAACACGUGGAUAACCUACCUAUAAGACUGGGAUAACUUCGGGAAACCGGAGCUAAUACCGGAUAAUAUUUUGAACCGCAUGGUUCAAAAGUGAAAGACGGUCUUGCUGUCACUUAUAGAUGGAUCCGCGCUGCAUUAGCUAGUUGGUAAGGUAACGGCUUACCAAGGCAACGAUGCAUAGCCGACCUGAGAGGGUGAUCGGCCACACUGGAACUGAGACACGGUCCAGACUCCUACGGGAGGCAGCAGUAGGGAAUCUUCCGCAAUGGGCGAAAGCCUGACGGAGCAACGCCGCGUGAGUGAUGAAGGUCUUCGGAUCGUAAAACUCUGUUAUUAGGGAAGAACAUAUGUGUAAGUAACUGUGCACAUCUUGACGGUACCUAAUCAGAAAGCCACGGCUAACUACGUGCCAGCAGCCGCGGUAAUACGUAGGUGGCAAGCGUUAUCCGGAAUUAUUGGGCGUAAAGCGCGCGUAGGCGGUUUUUUAAGUCUGAUGUGAAAGCCCACGGCUCAACCGUGGAGGGUCAUUGGAAACUGGAAAACUUGAGUGCAGAAGAGGAAAGUGGAAUUCCAUGUGUAGCGGUGAAAUGCGCAGAGAUAUGGAGGAACACCAGUGGCGAAGGCGACUUUCUGGUCUGUAACUGACGCUGAUGUGCGAAAGCGUGGGGAUCAAACAGGAUUAGAUACCCUGGUAGUCCACGCCGUAAACGAUGAGUGCUAAGUGUUAGGGGGUUUCCGCCCCUUAGUGCUGCAGCUAACGCAUUAAGCACUCCGCCUGGGGAGUACGACCGCAAGGUUGAAACUCAAAGGAAUUGACGGGGACCCGCACAAGCGGUGGAGCAUGUGGUUUAAUUCGAAGCAACGCGAAGAACCUUACCAAAUCUUGACAUCCUUUGACAACUCUAGAGAUAGAGCCUUCCCCUUCGGGGGACAAAGUGACAGGUGGUGCAUGGUUGUCGUCAGCUCGUGUCGUGAGAUGUUGGGUUAAGUCCCGCAACGAGCGCAACCCUUAAGCUUAGUUGCCAUCAUUAAGUUGGGCACUCUAAGUUGACUGCCGGUGACAAACCGGAGGAAGGUGGGGAUGACGUCAAAUCAUCAUGCCCCUUAUGAUUUGGGCUACACACGUGCUACAAUGGACAAUACAAAGGGCAGCGAAACCGCGAGGUCAAGCAAAUCCCAUAAAGCUGUUCUCAGUUCGGAUUGUAGUCUGCAACUCGACUACAUGAAGCUGGAAUCGCUAGUAAUCGUAGAUCAGCAUGCUACGGUGAAUACGUUCCCGGGUCU